UCUGGGCAUGGAUGUUCUUAUUUGGACACCUUGUUUGGGCUACUGGAUUUAUGUUCUUAAUUUCUUGGCGUGGGUAUUGGCAGGAAUUGAUUGAAACUUUAGCCUGGGCUCAUGAGCGAACACCUUUAGCCAAUUUGAUUCGCUGGAGAGAUAAACCAGUGGCCCUUUCCAUUGUGCAAGCAAGAUUGGUUGGAUUAGCCCACUUUUCUGUAGGUUAUAUAUUUACUUAUGCGGCUUUCUUAAUUGCCUCUACGUCGGGCAAAUUUGGUUAAUUUUUUAAUUCAUUUUUGAAUGUGGUUGUAUCCGAGAAAGAUUCAUUUCUUUGGAUGGAGAGGGGUUCGGCCUUCUUAUAUUUCUACAUCUAGGAUUCGACUUGUAUCAGGGAUACCAAGAGGAACUAAACCAUUAUGGCAAGGAAAGGUUUGAUUCAGCGGGAGAAGAAAAGGCAAAAAUUGGAACAUAAAUAUCAUUUGAUUCGUCGAUCCUCAAAAAAAGAAAUAAGCAAAGUUCAGUCGUUAAAUGACAAAUGGGAAAUUUAUAGAAAGUUACAAUCCCCACCGCGGAAUAGCGCACCUACACGUUUUCAUCGACGUUGUUUUGCGACCGGAAGACCGAGAGCUAAUUAUCGAGACUUUGGACUAUCUGGACAUAUACUUCGAGAAAUGGUUCAUGCAUGUUUGUUGCCUGGAGCAACAAGAUCCAGUUGGUAAGGAUUAACCUUUGAUUUCUAUUUGAUGGUUGGUGAUCGGGGGGCCCCUUUACCAUUCUGUAUAAAUCGGCUAUUCUAUUGUACAGAUAUGGUAGAGGGGCACAUUCAACCCUUGGUUGUCUAUUAGUUUUCGGUUCUUCUCGUUAGCGCGGGGUAGAGCAGUUUGGUAGCUCGCAAGGCUCAUAACCUUGAGGUCACGGGUUCAAAUCCCGUCUCCGCAACAUCUUGUUUGUAAACAAUUUUUAGGUUUUACUCUGUUAACUAGUAAUUCAUUAUCUGCUUUUCUUUUUAGAUAAGGAUAGAAUCAUUAAAUGAUCGCGGCCAAUUAUACUAAAUACCUUAUCAUUAUCAUAUUAACUAAAUUACUUUAGUUUAGUUUGAGCGGAUAGCGGGAAUCGAACCCGCGUCUUCUCCUUGGCAAAGAGAAAUUUUACCAUUCGACUAUAUCCGC
rnacentral:tRNA from 1 species